AGAGUUUGAUCCUGGCUCAGAAUCAACGCUGGCGGCGUGCCUCAGACAUGCAAGUCGAACGCGAAAGUUUCCUUCGGGGAGCGAGUAGAGUGGCGCACGGGUGAGUAACACGUAGGUAAUCUACCUUUGGAUGGGGAAUAACAACCGGAAACGGUUGCUAAUACCGCAUAAUGCAGCGGCACCUAAUGGUGACAGUUGUUAAAGCGGGGGAUCGAAAGACCUCGCGUCUAAGAGGAGCCUGCGGCGGAUUAGCUAGUUGGUAAGGUAAUGGCUUACCAAGGCUAUGAUCCGUAACCGGCCUGAGAGGGCGGUCGGUCACACUGACACUGACAUACGGGUCAGACUCCUACGGGAGGCAGCAGUCGGGAAUUUUGGGCAAUGGGCGAAAGCCUGACCCAGCAACGCCGCGUGAAGGAUGAAAUCCCUCGGGAUGUAAACUUCGCAAGAACAGGAAGAAUAAGUAAGGGUUAAUAUCUCUUACGAUGACGGUACUGUUUGUAAGCUCCGGCUAACUCCGUGCCAGCAGCCGCGGUAAUACGGGGGGAGCAAGCGUUGUUCGGAUUUACUGGGCGUAAAGGGCGCGUAGGCGGCCACCGCAAGUCGGUUGUGAAAUCUCUGGGCUUAACCCAGAAAGGUCAACCGAUACUGCGGGGCUAGAGUGCAGAAGGGGCAACUGGAAUUCUCGGUGUAGCGGUGAAAUGCGUAGAUAUCGAGAGGAACACCUGCGGCGAAGGCGGGUUGCUGGGCUGACACUGACGCUGAAGCGCGAAAGCUAGGGGAGCGAACGGGAUUAGAUACCCCGGUAGUCCUAGCCUUAAACGAUGAAUGCUUGGUGUCUGGGGUUUUAUAGUCCCCGGGUGCCGUCACUAACGCUUUAAGCAUUCCGCCUGGGGAGUACGGUCGCAAGACUGAAACUCAAAGGAAUUGACGGGGACCCGCACAAGCGGUGGAGCAUGUGGUUUAAUUCGACGCAACGCGAAGAACCUUACCUGGGCUAGAAUGCCUCUGACAACCCUAGAGAUAGGGCCUUCUGGGUAAAACCAGACGGAGUGCAAGGUGCUGCAUGGCUGUCGUCAGCUCGUGUCGUGAGAUGUUGGGUUAAGUCCCGCAACGAGCGCAACCCUUAUCAAUAGUUGCCAGCGGUUAGGCCGGGCACUCUAUUGAGGCUGCCGUUGACAAAACGGAGGAAGGUGGGGAUGACGUCAAGUCCUCAUGGCCUUUAUGUCCAGGGCUACACACGUGCUACAA
rnacentral:rRNA from 1 species